GAUGAAGAACGUAGCUAAAUGCGAUACGUAAUGUGAAUUGCAGAAUUCAGUGAAUCAUCGAAUCUUUGAACGCAUAUUGCGCUCUCUGGUAUUCCGGAGAGCAUGCUUGUUUGAGUAUCAGUAAACACCUCAACUCCCCUUUCUUUUUUUGAAAUGGGAGCUGGACUUGAGUGAUCCCAACGCUUUUCUCACCGAAAAGUGGCGGGUUACUUGAAAUGCAGGUGCAGCUGGACUUUUCUCUGAGCUAAAAGCAUAUCUAUUUAGUCUGCCUAAAAAACAGAUUAUUACCUUUGCUGCAGCUAACAUAAAGGAGAUUAGUUCUUGUGCUGACUGAUGCAGGAUUCACAGAGACAGCUUCGGCUGGCCUUUGUAAACUCGAUCUCAAAUCAAGUAAGACUACCCGCUGAACUUAAGCAUAUCAAUAAGCGGAGGA
rnacentral:misc_RNA from 1 species